GACGAACGCUGGCGGCGUGCUUAACACAUGCAAGUCGAACGGAAAGGCCCUGCUUGCAGGGUACUCGAGUGGCGAACGGGUGAGUAACACGUGGGUGAUCUGCCCUGCACUUCGGGAUAAGCCUGGGAAACUGGGUCUAAUACCGGAUAGGAGCCAUUUUUAGUGUGAUGGUUGGAAAGUUUUUUCGGUGUAGGAUGAGCUCGCGGCCUAUCAGCUUGUUGGUGGGGUAAUGGCCUACCAAGGCGGCGACGGGUAGCCGGCCUGAGAGGGUGGACGGCCACAUUCGGACUGAGAUACGGCCCAGACUCCUACGGGAGGCAGCAGUGGGGAAUAUUGCACAAUGGGCGCAAGCCUGAUGCAGCGACGCCGCGUGGGGGAUGACGGCCUUCGGGUUGUAAACUCCUUUCGCUAGGGACGAAGCUUUUUGUGACGGUACCUAGAUAAGAAGCACCGGCUAACUACGUG
rnacentral:rRNA from 1 species